GCCGGGGUGGCCCAGUCUGGUCACGGCGCCGGCUUGCUAUAGCUAGUCUGCGAAAAGCCGGUUGCGCGUAAGCGCUUCCUGGGUUCAAAUCCCAGCCCCGGCG
rnacentral:tRNA from 1 species